UAGUGAGGCCUUCGGACUGGCUCAGGGAGGUCGGCAACGACCACCCAGAGCCGGAAAGUUCGUCAAACUUGGUCAUUUAGAGGAAGUAAAAGUCGUAACAAGGUU
rnacentral:rRNA from 1 species